UACGGGAGGCAGCAGUGGGGAAUAUUGCACAAUGGGCGCAAGCCUGAUGCAGCCAUGCCGCGUGUAUGAAGAAGGCCUUCGGGUUGUAAAGUACUUUCAGUCGUGAGGAAGGUGUUAAGGUUAAUAACCUUAGCAAUUGACGUUAGCGACAGAAGAAGCACCGGCUAACUCCGUGCCAGCAGCCGCGGUAAUACGGAGGGUGCAAGCGUUACUCGGAAUUACUGGGCGUAAAGCGUGCGUAGGUGGUUUGUUAAGUCUGAUGUGAAAGCCCUGGGCUCAACCUGGGAAUGGCAUUGGAAACUGGCUUACUAGAGUGCGGUAGAGGGGUGUGGAAUUCCCGGUGUAGCAGUGAAAUGCGUAGAUAUCGGGAGGAACAUCUGUGGCGAAGGCGACACCCUGGGACCAGCACUGACACUGAGGCACGAAAGCGUGGGGAGCAAACAGGAUUAAGAAUACC
rnacentral:rRNA from 1 species